AAUAUGUUUUCUGAUUCCUUUCUAUUCUUUACUUUGAAGAAGCGAGACGGGAAAAACCUGAAACGAAACCCACAAUGUUAAGUCCUUCUUUCAACGCUUUUGUAGUAUAGGAGCUUGGUUUGGCGCUGUAUAUCUGGCCAAUUAGUGACCAUCUAUUUUAGUUUUGCAAUUGUGGCACUAAUGGGAUUCACUUUUAUUUCCUCUUCUGA
rnacentral:misc_RNA from 1 species